rnacentral:rRNA from 2 species
UGGGGAAUAUUGCACAAUGGAGGGAACUCUGAUGCAGCGACGCCGCGUGAACGAAGAAGGCUUUCGAGUCGUAAAGUUCUUUUAUAUGGGAAGAUAAUGACGGUACCAUAAGAAAAAGCCCCGGCUAACUACGUGCCAGCAGCCGCGGUAAUACGUAGGGGGCUAGCGUUGUCCGGAAUCACUGGGCGUAAAGGGUUCGCAGGCGGAAAUGCAAGUCAGGUGUAAAGGCAGUAGCUUAACUACUGUAAGCAUUUGAAACUGCAUAUCUUGAGAAGAGUAGAGGUAAGUGGAAUUUUUAGUGUAGCGGUGAAAUGCGUAGAUAUUAAAAAGAAUACCGGUGGCGAAGGCGACUUACUGGGCUCAUUCUGACGCUGAGGAACGAAAGCGUGGGUAGCAAACAGG